rnacentral:tmRNA from 1 species
GGGGGCGUACUGGUUUCGACGGGGAUAAUUGAUGCCUGAGAGGCAUGCCGGGGUUCCUACCGGGCCCGUUAACAAGGUAGGAAACACAUAAUCGCCAACGAUUAUAACUAUGCCCUAGCGGCGUAAAUCCGCUAGCGUCCCGGCGGGCUUUUCCUGUGGGCUCGCCGAGGGCGUCGCACAGCAGGAUCGCCCGGCCCAGUUUCCCACGGGGGCAGGGUUAAAGACAGUGGGAUCGUCUUCGCCGGAUCCCGUCCGCGGGAGCUGAUGAAGAUCAGAACAAAACGCGGACUAAGCAUGUAGGACUCUCAGAGUUGAAGAUUCUCGGACGCGGGUUCGAUUCCCGCCGCCUCCACCA